GAUGAACGCUGGCGGCGUGCCUAAUACAUGCAAGUCGAGCGAACGGACGAGAAGCUUGCUUUUCUGAUGUUAGCGGCGGACGGGUGAGUAACACGUGGAUAACCUACCUAUAAGACUGGGAUAACUUCGGGAAACCGGAGCUAAUACCGGAUAAUAUUUUGAACCGCAUGGUUCAAAAGUGAAAGACGGUCUUGCUGUCACUUAUAGAUGGAUCCGCGCUGCAUUAGCUAGUUGGUAAGGUAACGGCUUACCAAGGCAACGAUGCAUAGCCGACCUGAGAGGGUGAUCGGCCACACUGGAACUGAGACACGGUCCAGACUCCUACGGGAGGCAGCAGUAGGGAAUCUUCCGCAAUGGGCGAAAGCCUGACGGAGCAACGCCGCGUGAGUGAUGAAGGUCUUCGGAUCGUAAAACUCUGUUAUUAGGGAAGAACAUAUGUGUAAGUAACUGUGCACAUCUUGACGGUACCUAAUCAGAAAGCCACGGCUAACUACGUGCCAGCAGCCGCGGUAAUACGUAGGUGGCAAGCGUUAUCCGGAAUUAUUGGGCGUAAAGCGCGCGUAGGCGGUUUUUUAAGUCUGAUGUGAAAGCCCACGGCUCAUUCGUGGAGGGUCAUUGGAAACUGGAAAACUUGAGUGCAGAAGAGGAAAGUGGAAUUCCAUGUGUAGCGGUGAAAUGCGCAGAGAUGUGGAGGAACACCAGUGGCGAAGGCGACUUUCUGGUCUGUAACUGACGCUGAUGUGCGAAAGCGUGGGGAUCAAACAGGAUUAGAUACCCUGGUAGUCCACGCCGUAAACGAUGAGUGCUAAGUGUUAGGGGGUUUCCGCCCCUUAGUGCUGCAGCUAACGCAUUAAGCACUCCGCCUGGGGAGUACGACCGCAAGGUUGAAACUCAAAGGAAUUGACGGGGGCCCGCACAAGCGGUGGAGCAUGUGGUUUAAUUCGAAGCAACGCGAAGAACCUUACCAAAUCUUGACAUCCUUUGACAACUCUAGAGAUAGAGCCUUCCCCUUCGGGGGACAAAGUGACAGGUGGUGCAUGGUUGUCGUCAGCUCGUGUCGUGAGAUGUUGGGUUAAGUCCCGCAACGAGCGCAACCCUUAAGCUUAGUUGCCAUCAUUAAGUUGGGCACUCUAAGUUGACUGCCGGUGACAAACCGGAGGAAGGUGGGGAUGACGUCAAAUCAUCAUGCCCCUUAUGAUUUGGGCUACACACGUGCUACAAUGGACAAUACAAAGGGCAGCGAAACCGCGAGGUCAAGCAAAUCCCAUAAAGUUGUUCUCAGUUCGGAUUGUAGUCUGCAACUCGACUACAUGAAGCUGGAAUCGCUAGUAAUCGUAGAUCAGCAUGCUACGGUGAAUACGUUCCCGGGUCU
rnacentral:rRNA from 1 species